AGAGCUGUACCUCAGUUGUAGAGGACUUGUCUAACACACAGGAGCCCUAGGUCCCAACCCUAGUACCACCA
rnacentral:tRNA from 1 species